UUAAUUAGUAUAGUAAGACGUAUAUUUUAACCAAGAUAAGUGAUUUUUUUCACUGGAUCCGACUUCGCCGUGAUCGGUGCCACGUUUCACUUGCGAACAUAUUCAAAAAUAUGCGCUCACUCUUUGGCUAUCAUAAACUAACUCCUUAAAAACAUUAGUAUUCAAUUUGAUUUCACUUGUUUGAUUAUUAUAUCCUUUAUGUUUUCAUUAUUACUCUUAUUCCAGGUGAAAGGUGACAAAUCCCAUAUUUUUUUAACGCAUUUCUUCUCAUCACAUUUGAAAUGGUAUUUUUUCCAUGCCACAUAUCGAUGAUACUAUUCCAAACAGUUUCGUCUGGUUGUUUGUUAGGAUCAAGUACUUGAAACUGCUCUGUUCCAACGCCAAAAAUUACUAGAAAAACUAUAAUUGUAAUUUCAAUAAGUUUCAUGAUGUUGAGUUUGUUCUGCUAUUUUUAUUCAAGCAAUUACAAAGCAGCAGUUGUUUUGUAGUUAACGUUAAUUUUUAGAUUACCAAUAAACCGACCGUAGUAUUUAUAAACUUGAAAUUUUCAUAAGAAAAUGUUCUGAAUGACGCUAGAGUGACCAAAUUACUAAACUGUACGAACUGGCAAAAUGCAUGUUUUGGUACCAAGUAAAAUAGGUCCGUAUUGAGGAUGCUUGAGGCAAAUAUUAUUGCGGAAACGUUAUUUUGAAACAAGCAAGGAAAUAAUACUUAAAACACACUAUGUAUAUUUAAGAACCACUCAAGUGUUGUCUCUAAACAUAAGCUUAGGUAAAAUGAACCCAGUUGGAGUGAAUGUCAUUAUUUUUCUUCUAGUCGUAACUCAAGUGAAAACUGGUUCUAUUAGAGAACCAUUACGCAAAAUAAUCACCAAUGAAGCAUUAGAUGUUAUAUACAAAGACAAAUCUUUGACGGAUAUCAUAAUGUCAGAGUUCCAAAUAUUGUGGAAUGGAUUUUUAAAGAGACGAGAUCGAUCUACAUCUGAAAACGUAACUAAAAAAAUACAAAACAGUGAUAUUAUACAUGCAUCUCCAAGUAAUCGUAUGACACAAAAAAUAAAUUGACAUAAAUAAAAAAUAUACGCAUUUCUGUCCCAAAUGACCCAAAUAUAAUCCAAAAUAGAUAUCAAAUACCUACAUUAAAAAACAUCAUAAGAUAUAGGUACUUUCUUAAAAUGAAUAAUCCUAUCAGUAACACAAAGCCACACUCUUACCGCAUUGGACCCAGAGCAACAACAAGCCAGCAAGACUCGGACCAAGCCAACUCUGCAGGCGUAUUAUGUAUGGCUUUAUAUACGUGAUAAAAUAACCGUCACUUUUUAACACCGCGGUAUUGAAAGUGACGGACACCGAUUUAUCACGUAGACAAGAACAACCAGUCAACCAUCAUAGUCUUGAGUGAAUUUGAGUCUUGCUAGAAGCAGAUAUUUUUCCUUUUUUCCUUUAAUAUAAGAAAGCGGCUUUUACGCUUGCUGAAUCAGCAAUGCUGAGGUAUUAAGAGACUGUCCUAUUAGUAAGUAAAAACAUGGUCGACGUAUACGCCCCUCUUGUUGUCUUUGAUAUUUGAAGCGCAUUCUAUGAGGCUCACA